UGUAUAUGAAAUGUUUCAUCUAUAUAUUACGAAAGUUUCCGAUCUUUGCCUUCAGUACUUUGCUGGAAGUGAAACGAAUCACAGAAAGCAAAAUGGGCUUCCAACUAAUUCGCAAGAGUGCAUUUUUCGUUUGUGGUGGGCACAAUUUUCGUAGAUGACAGUUUGACAAAGCAAGUGGGAAGAAUGAAUAGUUUGGCUGCUUUCACCAAUGAUUCUUGCAUCGGGACAGGGGAUCCCCCUUAUCUACCAGAGUUUGCGGAUCCAGAGGACAUCACUUACUUUUAUCAAUGCCUCUUUGAUUCUGACCCAACUUGUUCUUGUGAAUAUUGGUAUCUGGCUCAUAUGGAAUGUCCACCAGGAGGUUACUUCGAUGAGUCCGCACAACUCUGCAUGAAAUUUUAACAUUCUAUACACGCAAUAAAAAGCUAUGACUAUUGAAACUUUACAGUGAUAAUAAAUACUUUUCGAAAUUA